rnacentral:lncRNA from 1 species
GCGCGACAAGUAGUUGCUGGGACAGCGAAAUGGAGGGGUGUGUGUCUAACCUAAUGGUCUGCAACCUGGCCUACAGCGGGAAGCUGGAAGAGUUGAAGGAGAGUAUUCUGGCCGAUAAAUCCCUGGCUACUAGAACUGACCAGGACAGCAGAACUGCAUUGCACUGGGCAUGCUCAGCUGGACAUACAGAAAUUGUUGAAUUUUUGUUGCAACUUGGAGUGCCAGUGAAUGAUAAAGACGAUGUGAGUACUUUGAUAAAGUUGAGUUGAUAAAUUCCCAGUUAUCUUUGUACUCCAGACUGGUGUUUACUGAAGCCUGUGCAUUAAGCUUAUAAAGAAAAUUGUAACCUUUAUGACUGGAAAGUUACAUCAUGGCCCUUGUGAUCAAGCAUGAGACUCAUGGUUGCAUUAUUUUACAAUGUUAUGUUUGCCACUCAUACUCUGUGAUUUAAGGUAAACAUACAGGAGAGGCUGAGGUAGGAGGAUUGCUCCAGCCUAGUAGUUUGAGGCUGCAG